rnacentral:siRNA from 1 species
UCAACAACCACCAUCGCCACUUGC